rnacentral:lncRNA from 1 species
UCUGAAAUUAACCAGAAGAAUCUGAUUCUAAAAAUGCAGAUUUUUUUUUAUUUUGGAAGCUACGGACCGUUACUACUUAUUACGCUUGGCAGCGCGUCUUCCGUUACCCUUCCUUGGUGGUACUUUGUCACGACGCUUCAGCAUCUCAAGCUUCGAUAAGCGCCUACAAUUAAGUUAAUAACAAACAAACUCGAGAACAAAAAAACUCAAGCUCCAACACUAGACUAAUGCAAGGCUUAUCAACUACCCCACCAAGACAAGAGGAAUCAAAUCACCUAUACACUCUUUGCAAUGGAAAUGAGUUAUCUAGGCAUU